rnacentral:rRNA from 1 species
UACGUAGGGUGCAAGCGUUAAUCGGAAUUACUGGGCGUAAAGCGUGCGCAGGCGGUGACGCAAGACAGAUGUGAAAUCCCCGGGCUUAACCUGGGAACUGCAUUUGUGACUGCAUCGCUGGAGUGCGGCAGAGGGGGAUGGAAUUCCGCGUGUAGCAGUGAAAUGCGUAGAUAUGCGGAGGAACACCGAUGGCGAAGGCAAUCCCCUGGGCCUGCACUGACGCUCAUGCACGAAAGCGUGGGGAGCAAACAGG